rnacentral:misc_RNA from 1 species
AUGCCUCAUCUUCAAGGUCAUCAAAGACAAGCUGUUCUUCUUCUUCUUCAUUGUCCGUUAAUGCUUCUUCAAUUAUGGUUGGUUUGAGAACUGGCUCAGGCUGCGAGUUUCUCUUCUUGGCAUGAAGUGUGCUAGACUUUAUUGGACUUAAAUGAAACGGCUGUAUCCAAAAUGAAAACGCGAAGUUGUGGUUUGAAAGAGAAGACCAGUAGCCGCAAGAGAAGCUCUUGUUUGGUGGAACUGAGAUUACAGAGACUCUCAUAUUCUUCCAAGGUGAAAUCAAAUCCAUUUUUCAGAAGUGAGAAUUUUAUUUCCCUUCCCUCCUUAAUACAGCGGUGUGAAGAGCAUGAGCAAUUCUUAGAAAAUGGAGAAGUUACUGAUAUUUUAGGGGGAUAGAGAAGCUUGUGGAGCUUUAAGCAGGCUGCCAUGUUUCAAGUAAACGAUGUCGUUGAUACGCAGUGCAUUGAAAACGACGUCGAUGCUUGUGGUUCCCAGGCCUCCUUGGCCGGUUGAAAUUUUUCAAGGUAGGGAAGCCAUUAAGAGAGCGCAAUAGAAUUUUGCGAUUGCUUUCAGCUAGUGGAAUCUCCCGAAUAAUUCUUGUUCUUUUGAUCUGAA